rnacentral:rRNA from 1 species
UACGGGGGGGCAAGCGUUGUUCGGAAUUACUGGGCGUAAAGGGCUCGUAGGCGGCCAACUAAGUCAUACGUGAAAUCCCUCGGCUUAACCGGGGAACUGCGUCUGAUACUGGAUGGCUUGAGUUCGGGAGAGGGAUGCGGAAUUCCAGGUGUAGCGGUGAAAUGCGCAGAUAUCAGGAGGAAUACCAGCGGCGAAGGCGGCGCUCUGGGCCGGUACUGACGCUGAGGAGCGAAAGCGUGGGGAGCAAACAGG